AAUAUCUUUUAGGAAUUUAUUUCUGGCUUAAUUUGCAAGCCACAUCCUUUGUUUUGUUGGAGUAUGGUAAUUCGAGGUGCUUGAAUGUCAAGUGAUGAUCUAUCUUCCCUAAGCGGCGUUUUCAUAUUUCUAUGCGAGUGCUUAUCCUUUUGCUCAAUCAAAAUUUCAUGUUAAUUGUUUUCAAACGGUGUGCUUCUCUUCAAGUAAUUCAAUCCUCUCCAACAUUUUCAAGUUCAACCCUCAUAAUUCUUUCUGGAGUUCAUCUCACCUAUCCCAAGUUAUCGUUGUUUUUCCCAUCCUCUCGCUCUUUUUCUUCAAUGAUUAAAUUAUCAUGCAUGAGAAUAUGUGUGUUUGGGAUAUAUAUAUAUGGAGAGAUUUGUGCGAGUGUGACAUGCCCUCCGAUCGAGUUUCUUAUGUUUUGUUGAAAUGUCGAUUUAUUUCUGUUU
rnacentral:lncRNA from 1 species